rnacentral:rRNA from 1 species
CACGUAGGGGCCAAGCGUUGUCCGGAAUUACUGGGCGUAAAGGGCGCGUAGGCGGCUUAUCAAGUCAGGCGUGAAAUUCCCGGGCUCAACCUGGGGGCUGCGCUUGAUACUGAUGAGCUUGAAUGCGGGAGAGGAUAGUGGAAUUCCCAGUGUAGAGGUGAAAUUCGUAGAUAUUGGGAAGAACACCGGUGGCGAAGGCGGCUAUCUGGCCCGUAAUUGACGCUGAGGCGCGAAAGCGUGGGGAGCAAACAGG